AAAUCACAUACAUAUAUAUAAGCUACUUUUCGACAAACCAAAUAAGCAAACCGAUCACCAGAACUCUGUAAUAGUACAUGAAAAUGAGGAAAUUCUACUACACGUAUUUUUAUUCAUCUUCUAAAUAAAACACAGAUUGCUCCGUUAUACGCAUUAGCUAUCCUUUCCUUCCUUGCAAGGCUAGCUCCUGCUCGCAAUAUCCUUUUCCUUAUUGCAUGAUACUCUUCCCUUUACCUGUAAAAACAUAUACAUUGGAUCUCUGUCAAUACUGGUGCAUCUUUAAAUGAUAAAUAUUAAUUUGUGUGAAAAAAAAACCAAGUAAUCAAUUAAUUCAAUGCAAUGCUGCACUGAAAUAUUUUGACCUGACAUUAUGUUUUCAGAGACUUGUUAAUUAAGAUAUAUAUACUUGGCAUUGUCAAAAUAAUCGUACGUGCAUGUACCUUGAAACUAUGAGAG
rnacentral:lncRNA from 1 species